rnacentral:tRNA from 3 species
UGACCUGUGGUGUAAUUGGCAACACAACUGAUUUUGGUUCAGUAGAGUCCAAGUUCGAGCCUUGGCAGGUCAACAA